GCUAGUCUCAUCAGACUCUAAUCAUGAGGCACCAUCUGAUAGGCCUGUACACUCAUUGGAUUUGUAUUCUGUUUGGGUUUUUUUUUAAGUUAGAAAAAGUUUAUUCAAAUGCAAUCAAUAAAAAGAAGAUAAGCCAUCAUAAGGUCUGAUUGCCAAUGAGACAACUCUCUGCAAAAGACCAAAUGACACAGAAAUUAACAAC
rnacentral:lncRNA from 1 species